rnacentral:rRNA from 1 species
GUACACUCCUGCGGGAGGCAGCAGUGGGGAAUUUUGGACAAUGGGCGAAAGCCUGAUCCAGCAAUGCCGCGUGUGUGAAGAAGGCCUUCGGGUUGUAAAGCACUUUUGUCCGGAAAGAAAUCCUUGGCUCUAAUACAGUCGGGGGAUGACGGUACCGGAAGAAUAAGCACCGGCUAACUACGUGCCAGCAGCCGCGGUAAUACGUAGGGUGCGAGCGUUAAUCGGAAUUACUGGGCGUAAAGCGUGCGCAGGCGGUUUGCUAAGACCGAUGUGAAAUCCCCGGGCUCAACCUGGGAACUGCAUUGGUGACUGGCAGGCUAGAGUAUGGCAGAGGGGGGUAGAAUUCCACGUGUAGCAGUGAAAUGCGUAGAGAUGUGGAGGAAGACCGAUGGCGAAGGCAGCCCCCUGGGCCAAUACUGACGCUCAUGCACGAAAGCGUGGGGAGCAAACAGGAUUAGAUACCCCUGUAGUCCCAUGA